rnacentral:lncRNA from 1 species
UUCAAAACAGUUUAGCAGAUCCAGAGCUCGGUGAAUGCACCAUGAAGGAGGUUCCUGUUGAAGUGAAAAACAAACCAAAGAGUUCUGAAGAGACAAUACAUGAUCUGGUUCUUGAAGGAGAAAAAGUUUCAGCUCUAAACAGCUUAGAUAAGACUGCAGAUGAUAAUGUCGUCUCUAAAGUGAGUGGCAAUGAAGUAGAGAGCGAUGCUGAACCUUCUGCUGAUAUAUCUGACAUUAAAAUCAUUGCAUCAGAGGGCAAAGCUGAGCCUUCAAACAACGCCGUGGAAAGUGAAGGUGAACCUUUUAUUAAUAUCCCUGACAAGAAAAACAAUGUCGUGAAUAGUGAAACUAAACCUUCAGUUCAAGGUGAAAUUUCUGUUGAAGGCGAAGUUGGCAAUCGUGAAGAGGGAAACACAAGACCUGUACAAGAAGGAUCUACUGCUGCAGAUAGUUUUGAUGGGCAGAAUGUGGGUUCAGAGGUAGUGAAAAAGCCUUUCUACUAUCUGAUAAGGCUUCCAAGAUACGACGAUGAUGAGAAUAUACAAGAGCAGAUAAAUGAUGCUCUUAAGCAGGUAGAAGAAAAGACAGAACUUCGUGGCAAAAUUAGAGCUGAAAUCAACAGUAGAAAGGUCAGCAAUCAGUGCAUACAACAUACUUUAAUAUUAUUUUGAUUGCAAAAGAUGAAAACAUUUCUAUAACUUCGAGACCAAUAUUUGACAUUAGAUAAUUUUUUGAAAAAUGUUAUGCUAUGAUCAGGAUAUCUGUAAUGAGUGUCUUCAGGAGUUUAGAGCUGCAAAAUUAGCAGAGCGAACUGCUCGGGACUUUCUCAAAUCCAAACGUCAAGAAAUAGAUUCAGUUAAAUCCACAAUUAGCAGAUUAAACAAUGCAAUUUCUGUUGGAGAUAUAGAUAACAAGGUUCGCUUUCAAUAUACUUUCAGAAAUAUUUAUAUGAUCUUGAUUCUUCUGUCUGUUUUUGAAGUCUGGAUAUAUGAUUUAUUGGCAGAUAAGAAACAUGGAACACAGGAUCCAGCAUGAAACUCUACCUCUAAAUGAAGAAAAGCAAUUGAUACGUCAAAUCAAGCAAUUGAAGCAGAGUCAUGGGGAGCUUUCUUCUAUA